GAUUGCUUGAAGUGUUUGACGCUUUUCUAUCUACUCUACAGAACCGUAUGUGAAUGGAACCUUGGUUUCUCAUAAUGCCAACUAUGUGGAGGGAAGAGUUUAGCUACUUGCAGUUGUUCGGAUCCGUACCUAUAAAGUAGUCUGCAAAGACUGCUUGAACCCAUGGUCUCAAAUCAGGUAGGAAGACCCGCUGAACUUAA
rnacentral:misc_RNA from 1 species